ACUGUGAGCUCGAUGAGUAGGGCGGGACACGUGGUAUCCUGUCUGAAUAUGGGGGGACCAUCCUCCAAGGCUAAAUACUCCUGACUGACCGAUAGUGAACCAGUACCGUGAGGGAAAGGCGAAAAGAACCCCGGCGAGGGGAGUGAAAAAGAACCUGAAACCGUGUACGUACAAGCAGUGGGAGCCUCUUUUAUGGGGUGACUGCGUACCUUUUGUAUAAUGGGUCAGCGACUUAUAUUCUGUAGCAAGGUUAACCGAAUAGGGGAGCCGAAGGGAAACCGAGUCUUAACUGGGCGUUAAGUUGCAGGGUAUAGACCCGAAACCCGGUGAUCUAGCCAUGGGCAGGUUGAAGGUUGGGUAACACUAACUGGAGGACCGAACCGACUAAUGUUGAAAAAUUAGCGGAUGACUUGUGGCUGGGGGUGAAAGGCCAAUCAAACCGGGAGAUAGCUGGUUCUCCCCGAAAGCUAUUUAGGUAGCGCCUCGUGAAUUCAUCUCCGGGGGUAGAGCACUGUUUCGGCAAGGGGGUCAUCCCGACUUACCAACCCGAUGCAAACUGCGAAUACCGGAGAAUGUUAUCACGGGAGACACACGGCGGGUGCUAACGUCCGUCGUGAAGAGGGAAACAACCCAGACCGCCAGCUAAGGUCCCAAAGUCAUGGUUAAGUGGGAAACGAUGUGGGAAGGCCCAGACAGCCAGGAUGUUGGCUUAGAAGCAGCCAUCAUUUAAAGAAAGCGUAAUAGCUCACUGGUCGAGUCGGCCUGCGCGGAAGAUGUAACGGGGCUAAACCAUGCACCGAAGCUGCGGCAGCGACGCUUAUGCGUUGUUGGGUAGGGGAGCGUUCUGUAAGCCUGUGAAGGUGUGCUGUGAGGCAUGCUGGAGGUAUCAGAAGUGCGAAUGCUGACAUAAGUAACGAUAAAGCGGGUGAAAAGCCCGCUCGCCGGAAGACCAAGGGUUCCUGUCCAACGUUAAUCGGGGCAGGGUGAGUCGACCCCUAAGGCGAGGCCGAAAGGCGUAGUCGAUGGGAAACAGGUUAAUAUUCCUGUACUUGGUGUUACUGCGAAGGGGGGACGGAGAAGGCUAUGUUGGCCGGGCGACGGUUGUCCCGGUUUAAGCGUGUAGGCUGGUUUUCCAGGCAAAUCCGGAAAAUCAAGGCUGAGGCGUGAUGACGAGGCACUACGGUGCUGAAGCAACAAAUGCCCUGCUUCCAGGAAAAGCCUCUAAGCAUCAGGUAACAUCAAAUCGUACCCCAAACCGACACAGGUGGUCAGGUAGAGAAUACCAAGGCGCUUGAGAGAACUCGGGUGAAGGAACUAGGCAAAAUGGUGCCGUAACUUCGGGAGAAGGCACGCUGAUAUGUAGGUGAAGUCCCUCGCGGAUGGAGCUGAAAUCAGUCGAAGAUACCAGCUGGCUGCAACUGUUUAUUAAAAACACAGCACUGUGCAAACACGAAAGUGGACGUAUACGGUGUGACGCCUGCCCGGUGCCGGAAGGUUAAUUGAUGGGGUCAGCGCAAGCGAAGCUCUUGAUCGAAGCCCCGGUAAACGGCGGCCGUAACUAUAACGGUCCUAAGGUAGCGAAAUUCCUUGUCGGGUAAGUUCCGACCUGCACGAAUGGCGUAAUGAUGGCCAGGCUGUCUCCACCCGAGACUCAGUGAAAUUGAACUCGCUGUGAAGAUGCAGUGUACCCGCGGCAAGACGGAAAGACCCCGUGAACCUUUACUAUAGCUUGACACUGAACAUUGAGCCUUGAUGUGUAGGAUAGGUGGGAGGCUUUGAAGUGUGGACGCCAGUCUGCAUGGAGCCGACCUUGAAAUACCACCCUUUAAUGUUUGAUGUUCUAACGUUGACCCGUAAUCCGGGUUGCGGACAGUGUCUGGUGGGUAGUUUGACUGGGGCGGUCUCCUCCUAAAGAGUAACGGAGGAGCACGAAGGUUGGCU
rnacentral:rRNA from 1 species